UGAAACGCGAUGAUGAGAAGAGUAAGGCGGAAUGUUUUUGAACAGAGAGCUCCGGAUGCUGAAAAGGAGUCAAAAGCCGCUGCCUGAAGCAAGCCUCUGAGCAGCGUGCCGGAACCGCAAGCGCGGGGGUGGCAUGCCGGGAGCUCCCGAUACAGAGCCAGUACAGGCUUAGCAGCAAAUGCCGUACUUGAUGAGAUCAAUAUGGCGACAUAUUGGUAAAGCCGGGGUGGCACCACGAAACUCGUCCCCAAG
rnacentral:ncRNA from 1 species